rnacentral:rRNA from 1 species
AUUGAACGCUGGCGGCAGGCCUAACACAUGCAAGUCGAACGGUAACAGGAAGAAGCUUGCUUCUUUGCUGACGAGUGGCGGACGGGUGAGUAAUGUCUGGGAAACUGCCUGAUGGAGGGGGAUAACUACUGGAAACGGUAGCUAAUACCGCAUAACGUCGCAAGACCAAAGAGGGGGACCUUCGGGCCUCUUGCCAUCGGAUGUGCCCAGAUGGGAUUAGCUAGUAGGUGGGGUAACGGCUCACCUAGGCGACGAUCCCUAGCUGGUCUGAGAGGAUGACCAGCCACACUGGAACUGAGACACGGUCCAGACUCCUACGGGAGGCAGCAGUGGGGAAUAUUGCACAAUGGGCGCAAGCCUGAUGCAGCCAUGCCGCGUGUAUGAACAAGGCCUUCGGGUUGUAAAGUACUUUCAGCGGGGAGGAAGGGAGUAAAGUUAAUACCUUGACUCAUUGACGUUACCCGCAGAAGAAGCACCGGCUAACUCCGUG